rnacentral:rRNA from 1 species
AGAACGAACGCUGGCGGCGUGGAUAAGACAUGCAAGUCGAACGCGACUUAUCGUGUUAGCAAUAACAUGGUAAGUUGAGUGGCGAAAGGGUGCGUAACACGUGGGAAAUUACCAAGAAGUGGGGAAUAGCUCGACGAAAGUCGAAUUAAUACCGCAUACGAUCGCAAGAUCAAAGCCGGGGACCGCAAGGCCUGGCGCUUUUUGAGAAGCCCCGCGGCCCAUCAGCUAGUUGGCGAGGUAAUGGCUCACCAAGGCUAUGACGGGUAGCUGGUCUGAGAGGACGACCAGCCACACUGGAACUGAGACACGGUCCAGACACCUACGGGUGGCAGCAGUCGAGAAUUUUUCACAAUGGGGGAAACCCUGAUGGAGCGACGCCGCGUGGAGGAUGAAGGUUCUUGGAUUGUAAACUCCUGUCACUGCAGAACAAGGAUACGCCAGUUAACAGCCGGCGUA